rnacentral:rRNA from 1 species
UACAGAGGGUGCGAGCGUUAAUCGGAAUUACUGGGCGUAAAGCGCGCGUAGGCGGCUUUGCAAGUCGGGUGUGAAAUCCCCAGGCUUAACCUGGGAACUGCGUCGGAUACUGGAUGGCUUGAAUCCGGGAGAGGGAUGCAGAAUUCCAGGUGUAGCGGUGAAAUGCGUAGAUAUCUGGAGGAAUACCGGUGGCGAAGGCGGCAUCCUGGACCGGCAUUGACGCUGAAGCGCGAAAGCUAGGGGAGCAAACGGG